rnacentral:rRNA from 1 species
GAUGAACGCUGGCGGUAUGCUUAACACAUGCAAGUCGAACGGACUCUUCGGAGUUAGUGGCGGACGGGUGAGUAACGCGUGAGAAUCUGGCUUUGGGUUCGGGACAACCACUGGAAACGGUGGCUAAUACCGGAUGUGCCGAGAGGUAAAAGAGAAAUUGCCUGAAGAUGAGCUCGCGUCUGAUUAGCUAGUUGGUGAGGUAAAGGCUCACCAAGGCAGCGAUCAGUAGCUGGUCUGAGAGGAUGACCAGCCACACUGGGACUGAGACACGGCCCAGACUCCUACGGGAGGCAGCAGUGGGGAAUUUUCCGCAAUGGGCGAAAGCCUGACGGAGCAAUACCGCGUGAGGGAAGAAGGCUCUUGGGUUGUAAAUCUCUUUUCUUAGGGAAGAACAAAAUGACGGUACCUAAGGAAUCAGCAUCGGCUAACUCCGUG